GCUGGCAUGGCUCAGUCGGUAGAGCGUCGCAUUGGUAGUGCGGAGGUCCCGGGUCCGAUUCCCGGUGCCAGCU
rfam:Firmicutes bacterium CAG:791 genomic scaffold, scf132